ensembl:lncRNA
UGGGCCAGGAAGAUACCCUGGAGGAGAUCAUGGCAACCCACUCCAGUAUUCUUGCCUGGAGAAUCCCCAUGGACAGAGGAGCCUGGAAGGCUAUAGUCCAUAGGGUCAUAGAGAGUUGGACAUGACCAAAGUGACUUAGCACGCAUGCAGGUUUGUUCUGUCUCUGCAGCUCUUAACUGUGCCUCUAGACAUCUUUCCUGACUGUUGUUCACCUGGAAGGUGUCCUUGCCAAAUGGGACUACAUUUGCUUUCUACACCUUCUUCCUCUGCCAAACAAGGACGCAGCUGCAAUCAAUAACAGACUGCUUCCAACUUCUGAUGCGAUGCAGGCUUCCAGAUGACAAGGGGCUUCAAAACCAAGCACCAUGAAGAAUAUUUAGAGCCCUUUAGUGGAGGAGAAAGCCUGUGUGCUGCUCAACAAUCAGAGACCUCCUAUCUCUUCCAACUCUUUCUCUGGCUGCAUUCCAGGAUCAUGGCUACACCUGGAGCCAAGGGCAGCUGGGAGAAGCGGCAGAGAACCGCAAACAGGAGCCUAUGCCAUCAGUGGGAUGCUUAGAAAAAUCACCUUGACUGCUGCUUCAGAGGAUCCUAUCCCUUUUGGGAUCUUCCCAACCCAGGGAUCGAACCUGCAUCUCCUGCUUAGCAGGCAGAUACUUUACCACUGAGCCACCUGGUAAAUAUACAUACUUUGCCUAAAUGACUCAUUUGAAACUGACCCUGAAGUAGCAGAGAAUUCCUGUCCUCAUCUGUGUGCCUAGGCUCUGACAAUUUAAAGCUAAUUCAAGUUUUCCUGGUGAAGCGAUCAUGUUGUUUGUGCAGCAGUCUUGAGAUCCCAGAGAAGACCAUCAGAUAAAUCCAUAUUAACGGACAUUCUGAAAAAUAUCUGCUCACAACUCCUCAAAAACUGUCAAGGUCAUCAAAAACAAGGGAAGUCUGAGAAACUGUCAUAGUCUAGAAGAGCCUUAGGAGACGUGAUAACUAAAUGAAAUGUGGUAUUUGGGGUGGGAUGCUGAGACAGAAAAAAGAUAUUAGGCAAACACUCAAGAAAUAAAAAUAAGUUAUGAAAAAUCAGUGAAUAAUAAUGUGCCCAUACUGGUUCAUUCGCUAUGAUAAGUGUAUCAUACUAUGUAAAUGUAUCAAGCUAACACAGGAUGUUAACAGCAGGGGAAACUGGGUUCAAGAUAUAAAGGAAUUCUCUGUCCUAUCUUUACAACUUGCUUAACUCUAAAAGUAUUCUAAAACAAGUUUUAAAAUGAGCUUUUAUAAAGAGGGAGUCCUUUUGAAAGGGACACUCAUCUCCAGGUGAAAACUAUGAGUCUCUGAUUUUUGUGCUGUUGUUGAGAGUACACACCUGGUCUUAAACCACUUUGGACAAGUUACUUAAUUCCUUGGAAGCUCCGUCUCCUUAUCUAUCUAUCGAAUGGGAGAAACCAUGUUGACCAAACAGACGCCUCCAGAGAAUCUAUGAGACAAGGUUCAAAAAUGCUACCACAGUGCCUACAAGUAGAACGUGUCCCCAGAAACAGCACAGGACCCUACAGGGCGUCCCCGGGACAGACCCCUCCCCAACAUUCUCUGCUGUAGGUCUUCUCUGAAGGACCUAGACAACAGUAUAUGAUGCACACAUCCUGAAUUGCUUUAUUGAUGCUAAAACCACCACCAACAGAAGAAAUUAACUACUUGAUGAUCAUGAGCAUGUAGCCCCCAGACCUGCUGGUGCCUCAGGAUAAAUAAUGUUAACU